GAGCCGACCUCAUGUAAGUCGCUCUGGAUAAGAGCGUCUGCUAAAUGACUUAAA
rfam:Salmo salar isolate Sally breed double haploid chromosome ssa17, whole genome shotgun sequence.